CUCUAACAACAGACCAGCUGUGAUUCACCUCCCCAGCUCGGUCAGAUCAUCAUCUAAUGUAACAGGCCGACGGGUUCAACCCAGUGGCUCUGCCUGCCACUGAGCCUGAAAAGGGACAAUGUCCAGAUACAUACGCGACAUCAGCUCUUGCAGGCGAAGGCGGCCUCGGAGAAGAGCCAGGCCUAGCAGGAGGAGGAGACCCAGGAGAAGGAGAAGGAGACGCACGAGGAGAGGCAGACGCUCUUACCACUACCGGAGGAGUAUGGUUUUCUGAAGCCGUAGCUGUGUCCACUCCUCCUGCUCCUGAGAACGAGCAGCCACCCCAUCACAAAACCAAACCAACGGGAGAACUGGGCAACCUGGCAAAACCCAAGAGAACCGGCAGCAGGAGCCGCUGAUCAAUAAAUCAUCUCAAUGCAAAAGGCAUUUAACUCUU